UCAUAAACUUAGACCCUUCAAUCUUUCAAAAAUUGCCAAGUCUAAGAUUACUGAAUCUAUCGUCAAGAUUUUCUAAUAUUCAAUUUCUAUUGCCUGACUUUUCCUGGUGAGCUUAGAUACUUGGAAUGGUAUGAAUACCCUUUGCAAUCCUUAGGCUCAAAUUCUAUACCACACAGUCUUGUUUAUCUUUAAAGGAACUGUGGAAAGAAAAUCAAGUAAGUGAAAUAACUAUAUGCUUUAUUCAUUAAAUAUUAUAAAUUUGAUACAUUGUUAAUUUUAAUUGAUAUAUUAUUCUUUUAUUUAUAUCAAAUACAUAUAUAAUUAUAUAUAUUUGAUGUAUUGUUUCAUGUCUUAAUUAAUAUAAUUAAUUAACUACAUUUUGUCUAUAUAAGGAGGAUGUUAGCAACUUAAAAUAGCUUACUUGUCUCCCAAAUCUUUCUCAAGCGAAUCUUCACAUGCUUCGUCUAGAUGGUUGUACAAGUUUAGUUAAUCUUCCCCCGUUAAGAUUUCACAACAUUUUUGAUGAUCCAGAUAAAGAAUCUCAAGUGAUGUACCAAUAUAAUUCUUUGAUGGAUCAUUUUAUAAAAUUUAUAUGUUUAAGUGAAACAGCAAUCAAGAAAUGGCACCCAUCUAUUAUCUCUCUAAAAAAAUCUUCUUCUACUUGAUCUUCAUAUGUGUGAACAUCUAAGGGAACUUCCCAAUGAUAUGUGUGAGUUAGAAUCAUUGGAAUACUUAUACAUGAAUAAUUGCAAGAAACUUGAAAGCCUCCCAACUACUAUUUGUAAGUUGAAGUCUCUUCGAGUACUUCAACUUGAAGGUUGCUCGCGAUUGAAUCUAAAGAGACUUUAUUUAACAUGCACGGGGAUUGAAGAGAUGCCAUCAUCAAUAGAGAAUCUAGUUGUGCUUGAAAGGCUAUACUUGAGUGGGUGUAAGAAUCUCAAGUCUAUUCCAACCACCAUCUUCAACAUGUGCAACAUUUCCAGUAUGGUGAUUGAUGAAUACCCAAAAUUCCAAAUUCUGCUAUAUAAUGGUUUGCCCUGUUUGCUAGUAAAAGACUCAAGUGAAACCACUUAUAAUCGACUACUACUAACAAAUGAUCAACCGUAUAUGUGCAGAAGUAGUUGUACUUGUAAGUUACAACAAGUUCAUUGUCAAAUGUGGGGAUGGGGAUAGAAAAGUAAAGGAUUUGAGUAGACCAAGUUUUUGUUAUCCAGGAGAUACAAUUACUCAAUGGUUUGCUCAUCAAUCUAUGGGAUCAUCACUUGAACUAAACUUACCUUUUUCCUCUUCAAAAGAUCUUCGCAACUUUUUAGGGUUUGCUUUAUGC